GACAGAGGUGCCGAGCGUUAGGCGGAAUCACUGGGCUUAAAGCGUGUGGUAGGCGGAUGCCUAAGUACCUUGUGAAAUUCCACGGCUCAACCGUGGAAACUGCUGGGUAUACUGGCGAUCUUGAGCCACUAGGGCGAGCGGAACAAGCGGUGGAGCGGAUGAAAUGCGUAGAUAUCGCUUGGAACGCCAAUGGUGAAAACAGCUCGCUGGGGGUGUGCUGACGCUGAGACACGAAGCCAGGGGAGCGAACGGG
rnacentral:rRNA from 1 species